rnacentral:rRNA from 1 species
UACGUAGGGUGCAAGCGUUAAUCGGAAUUACUGGGCGUAAAGCGUGCGCAGGCGGUUUUGUAAGUCAGAUGUGAAAUCCCCGGGCUUAACCUGGGGAACUGCGUUUGAAACUACAAGGCUAGAGUGUGGCAGAGGGGGGGUGGAAUUCCACGUGUAGCAGUGAAAUGCGUAGAGAUGUGGAGGAACACCGAUGGCGAAGGCAGCCCCCUGGGUUAACACUGACGCUCAGGCACGAAAGGCGUGGGGAGCAAACAGG